rnacentral:lncRNA from 1 species
UUUAGAAAGCUGUAUUGUACAUAAAGUAUAUAAACAAGGAUGACCUCAUAUAUUUCAUUAUUUGCUGUCGACAAAGAUAAAUACUGAUCUCCGAGGACCUGUGUUUUAAUGCAUAAAUUUUACCGACAAUGCAACGCAAGUCAGUCAAUAACUUUGCAUGAUACAACAUUAAGGAAACAUGUAGCAACACACUGCAUUCAAUUUGAUCUGAAUGUUACUGAUGUUUCGGAUAUUGCCAUAUUUAUGAGUUAUGUUGAUGAAAAUACAUGGAGAUAUUUAGAACCAUAGCAAGCUGAGAUAUAUUGUAAAUGUUUCCAUUAUUUAGAAACUGUGUCACAAGGAAAUGCAUAGAUUAUGGAUAAUAAAUAUGCAUCGGACAAUGACUCUGAAAUAGAAAAUAACUUAUUCAAUUUGGUAACAAUAAUACUGAUGAAUCAAGUAAUAUUAUAUUUGCUUAAAUCAUUAUAUGUUUCAUUGUGUGAGAUACCAAAGCAUUUCAAAAAUUUGACAAGCAAACGUAUGAAUAAGGUAACCGGAAAUGGUAAACGGAAAUGUAGUAAAUCUUCUUAUGGAAAAACGAAAAAGAUACAAUGGACAGAAGAUGAGAAAAAAGCAGCACUUUCUGCAUUUGCACAACAUAUGGGAAAUCAUACACUGUCGUC